UGGGGAAUAUUGCACAAUGGGCGCAAGCCUGAUGCAGCAACGCCGCGUGAGGGAUGGCGGCCUUCGGGUUGUAAACCUCUUUUAGCAGGGAAGAAGCGAAAGUGACGGUACCUGCAGAAAAAGCGCCGGCUAACUACGUGCCAGCAGCCGCGGUAAUACGUAGGGCGCAAGCGUUAUCCGGAAUUAUUGGGCGUAAAGAGCUCGUAGGCGGUUUGUCGCGUCUGCUGUGAAAUCCCGAGGCUCAACCUCGGGUCUGCAGUGGGUACGGGCAGACUAGAGUGCGGUAGGGGAGAUUGGAAUUCCUGGUGUAGCGGUGGAAUGCGCAGAUAUCAGGAGGAACACCGAUGGCGAAGGCAGAUCUCUGGGCCGUAACUGACGCUGAGGAGCGAAGGGGUGGGGAGCAAACAGGCUUAGAUACCCUGGUAGUCCACCCCGUAAACGUUGGGAACUAGUUGUGGGGUCCAUUCCACGGAUUCCGUGACGCAGCUAACGCAUUAAGUUCCCCGCCUGGGGAGUACGGCCGCAAGGCUAAAACUGCAAAGGAAUUGACGGGGUCAUAGCUGUUUCCU
rnacentral:rRNA from 1 species